rnacentral:rRNA from 1 species
GGAUUUAUUAGAACAGAACCAACCGGGGAUGGCUGUCCCUGUUGUACUCUGUGAUGACUCUGGAUAACUUCACUGAUCGCAGUCGGCCUUGUGUCGGCGACGGAUCUUUCAAAUAUCUGCCCUAUCAACUCGAUGGUAGGUGACCUGCCUACCAUGGUGAUAACGGGUAACGGGGAAUCAGGGUUCGAUUCCGGAGAGGGAGCCUGAGAAACGGCUACCACUUCCAAGGAAGGCAGCAGGCGCGAAAAUUACCCACUCCCGGCACGGGGAGGUAGUGACGAAAAAUACGAAUACGGGACUCAAUUGAGGCUCCGUAAUUCGAAUGAGUACACUUUAAAUCCUUUAACGAGGACCAAUUGGAGGGCAAGUCUGGUGCCAGCAGCCGCGGUAACUCCAGCUCCAAAAGCGUAUAUUAAAGUUGCUGCAGUUAAAAAGCUCGUAGUUGGAUCUGGGUCGUGUGGCCACAUACCGUUGCUCGUUCACUGUCUUGAUUACGAUCGAGACGGGAGUACGGGUCGGUGUAGUGACCGUGCA